CCUACGGGAGGCAGCAGUGGGGAAUAUUGCACAAUGGAGGGAACUCUGAUGCAGCGACGCCGCGUGAGUGAAGAAGUAAUUCGUUUUGUAAAGCUCUAUCAGCAGGGAAGAAAGUGACGGUUCCUGAAAAAAAAGCUCCGGCUAAAUACGUGCCAGCAGCCGCGGUAAUACGUAUGGAGCAAGCGUUAUCCGGAUUUACUGGGUGUAAAGGGGGAGUAGAUGGCAGAGCAAGUCCGUAGUGAAAACCCAACGCGCAACUAAGGGAAUGGUUUAGAAACUACUUAGCUAGAGUGCAGGAGAGGAAAGUGGAAUUCUUAGUGUAGCGGUGAAAUGCGUAGAUAUUAGGAGGAACACCAGUGGCGAAGGCGGCUUGCUGGACAGUAACUGACGCUGAGGCACGAAAGCGUGGGGAGCAAACAGGAUUAGAUACCCCAGUAGUC
rnacentral:rRNA from 1 species